UGUAGCUGAGUGGUAGAGCAUUUGCCUAGCAUUCAUGAAGCCCUGGGUUCAAUCCCCAGCA
rnacentral:tRNA from 1 species